rnacentral:rRNA from 1 species
UACAGAGGUCUCAAGCGUUGUUCGGAUUCAUUGGGCGUAAAGCGCGUGUAGGCGGCUGCGCAAGUCGGAUGUGAAAUCCCAUGGCUCAACCAUGGAAGUGCACCCGAAACUGCGUAGCUUGAGUCUCGGAGAGGAAGGCGGAAUGCUUGGUGUAGAGGUGAAAUUCGUAGAUAUCAAGCGGAACACCGGUGGCGAAGGCGGCCUUCUGGACGGUAACUGACGCUGAGACGCGAAAGCGUGGGGAGCAAACAGG